rnacentral:misc_RNA from 1 species
AUUACACAAAUGAAAAUAUGAAGGCCCUUCAAACCGGCUGGAUUAUUUUUCUUCACCCUUGUCUUUUGCGCACUUGUUGUUUCCUGGGCGGGUUCGCUCGCCACCAGGACCACACCAUAAACCUUUUUGUUAAUGCAAUCAGCGUCAGUAAAAAGUAAUAAUUAUUUUACAACUUUCAACAACGGAUCUCUUGGUUCUGGCAUCGAUGAAGAACGCAGCGAAAUGCGAUACGUAGUGUGAAUUGCAGAAUUCAGUGAAUCAUCGAAUCUUUGAACGCACAUUGCGCCCUUUGGUAUUCCAAAGGGCAUGCCUGUUCGAGCGUCAUUUGUACCCUCAAGCUUUGCUUGGUGUUGGGCGUUGUUUGUCUUUGGCCUUGCCCAAAGACUCGCCUUAAAACAAUUGGCAGCCGGCCUACUGGUUUCGCAGCGCAGCACAUUUUUGCGCUUGCAAUCAGCAAAAGAGGUUGGCCAUCCAUCAAGACUACAUUUAUACGUUUGACCUCGGAUCAGGUAGGGAUACCCGCUGAACUUAAGCAUAUCAAUAA